GAUGAACGCUGGCGGCGUGCCUAAUACAUGCAAGUCGAACGCAUUGAGAGAAGUGCUUGCACUUUUCAAUUUGAGUGGCGAACGGGUGAGUAACACGUGGGCAACCUACCUGAUAGCGGGGGAUAACGAGUGGAAACAUUCGCUAAUACCGCAUAACAAUAGAGAAGGCAUCUUCUUUAUUUAAAAGGCGCUUUCAAGCGUCACUAUCAGAUGGGCCCGCGGUGCAUUAGUUAGUUGGUAGAGUGAAGGCCUACCAAGACGAUGAUGCAUAGACGAGUUAGGAGACUGAUAGGCAACAUUGGGACUGAGACACUGCCCAAGCUCCUACGGGCGGCGGAAGUAGGGAAUCGUCCAGAAUGGAGGAAAGGCUGAUGGGGCAACGCCGCGUGUGUGAUGAAGGCUUUCAGGUCGUAAAGCACUGUUGUAUGGGAAGAAAUGCUAGGCUAGGAAAUGAGCUUAGUUUGACGGUACCAUACCAGAAAGGGACGGCUAAAUACGUGCCAGCCGCCGCCGUAA
rnacentral:rRNA from 1 species